GUGUCAGCAGCCGCGGUAAUACGGAGGAUGCAAGCGUUAUCCGGAUUUAUUGGGUUUAAAGGGUGCGUAGGCGGGAUCAUAAGUCAGUGGUGAAACCCUGCAGCUUAACUGUAGACUUGCCAUUGAUACUGUGGUUCUUGAGUGUGGUCAAGGGAGGCGGAAUGUGUAAUGUAGCGGUGAAAUGCUUAGAUAUUACACAGAACACCAAUUGCGAAGGCAGCUUUCUGGGCCAUUACUGACGCUGAUGCACGAAAGCGUGGGGAGCGAACAGGAUUAGAUACCCUGGUAGUCCACGCCGUAAACGAUGAUCACUAGCUGUUGGCGAUAUACUGUCAGCGGCAAAGCAAAAGCAUUAAGUGAUCCACCUGGGGAGUACGGCCGCAAGGCUGAAACUUAAAUGAAUUGGCGGGG
rnacentral:rRNA from 1 species